rnacentral:rRNA from 1 species
UACGUAGGGUGCGAGCGUUGUCCGGAAUUACUGGGCGUAAAGAGCUUGUAGGUGGUUUGUCGCGUUGUUCGUGAAAACUCACAGCUCAACUGUGAGCGUGCGGGCGAUACGGGCAGACUAGAGUACUGCAGGGGAGACUGGAAUUCCUGGUGUAGCGGUGGAAUGCGCAGAUAUCAGGAGGAACACCGGUGGCGAAGGCGGGUCUCUGGGCAGUAACUGACGCUGAGAAGCGAAAGCGUGGGGAGCGAACAGG